GGAGAGGUGAACAUUCCAACAAACAAGCAAAUGGCCUUCUUUGAAAACUCUAGCGGAGGUUUUCAUAGAAUUGGAUGCAUUGAGACCGAUGUGAGAAAUUAUGAAAGAGAUUUGAGAGAGGAGAGGCGCGGUCAUGAUGCACAAAUGAUGUUGGAUCAUUUCAAGUCGGAACAAGAGAAGAAUCCUUCAUUUUAUUAUGUUUAUGAAGUUGAUGAAGAGAAGCGCUUAACUCAUUGUUUUUGGGUGGAUGGCAUUGCUCGAAUGAAUUAUCAACACUUUGGCGAUGUUGUCUCCUUCGAUGCCACGCAUAACACAAAUCAAUAUGGCUUGGUAUUUGUGCCGUUUGUAGGCAUAAAUCACCAUUGGCAAAGUGUUUUUUUAGGAUGUGGCUUGAUCCCAAACGAAGAGGCGAAGUCUUUUGUAUGGUUGUUUAACAAAUGGAUUGAAGCAAUGGGUCAUCCUCCUUCGGGCAUGAUUACAGAUCAAUGUCUUGGCAUAUGCAAGGCAAUUGAAACAGUUUUUCCAGAAAUUCGGCAUAGGUUUUGCAUUUGGCAUAUCUUGGACAAAGUUCCGGAGAAGUUGGGUCAAUUGGCUUAUAGAACGGAAUUUAUGAAAUCUUUCAAAGAAAAUAUUUGGGACUCCGACGAUGCUAGCUCUUUUGAAGAGAAAUGGGUUUCAAUUAUUAAGAAAAAUGGAUUGGAAAAGCAUGAUUGGCUAAAUGAUAUCUAUGAAAUUCGUGAAAAAUGGGCUCCCGUUUAUCAUAAACAAUACUUUUGGGCCGGAAUGUCUAGCAGUCAAAGAAGUGAAGGGAUGAAUGCAUUGCUAAAAAUGCAUGUAUCAAGGAAAAAUUCACUUCAUGAUUUCGUGACUAUAUUUCAGAGGGUCUUGGCGAGACAAAGAGAGGGGGAGCUUAAAGAAGAUCAUUGCACAGUAGAGAAAAAGCCAAAAUUAAAGACUUUAUGGUCAAUGGAAAAACAAAUGGCCCAAAUCUACACGAAAAAAAUCUUUUAUAUUUUUCAAGACGAGCUUCAACCUAGCUUAAUGUAUAACAUUGAGCUAGUAAAAGAAAAUGAAAGAGAAAGUACUUUCCAAUUAAAUUUUUGUGGUCAUGAUGAAAGAUUGAGACAUAUUAUAUAUUGCAAAACAACUAAAAUGGUCCGUUGUUCGUGUCUCAUGUUUGAAUUCAAGGGCAUUCCAUGCCGACAUAUCUUGGCAUAUCUUAAACUUACCAAUCAUAGUGAGUUACCGGAAUAAUAUAUUCUAAGAAGAUGGUGCCGAAAUGUCAGAAAAAGGGUUGUUCUUAGAGAUGGUAAUAUUAUUGGAGAUAAUGCCACAAUUAAUUUUGCUUCUCGUUUUAGUGAACUAAAUUGCUUAGCUAAUGAAAUGGUCGAAGAGGGGCUAUCUUCUAAUGAUGCAUAUGAAUUAAUGCGUGAAAUGAUGAUGGAUGCUAUUAAUAAGGUGCAACGUUUGAAACUCAUCAAUGAUGAAGAAAUUGGACAAGAUGUGGAUGCGGAGUGUUCUCAAGAUAUAGUUCAUGAACCAAGUCAAGCAAGAACAAAAGGAAGGCCUAAAGGGAAGAGGUUAAAGCCAUCGAGAGAGAUCCGCAGAUACCGGCCUAGGAAAUGCAAAUUGUGUGGAAAGCGAGGACAAAAUCAUGAUAGCAGAAAUUGCCCUCUAAAGUUGUCAAGUGAUUCAAUGGAACGAGAUAACAUUGAUGAAGCCACGGAUGAUUUAGAAGAUUCAUUUGAGGAAGAUGAAGUUCUCACUAUUGUGUGAAGUUUAAUCAAGGUUGGCAGAGCAAAUCAUAUCACUAUUGGUGAGAAGGGGUUGAUGAAGGCAGAGCACCAAUGGGUUUAGUUUUGUAUCUUUGGUUAUGUAUUUGUGUGGUACCCCAAGUGAAUGAUGUUUCAUCUUUUGUUUAAUUGUUAAGUCCAUUUCAUUGUUUAAUAGUGAAUGAUGUUUCAUCUUUUGGUGGUUCUG